GAAGGAAAAUAAGUUGUGGAAAAUAAGGGAGAAUUCUCACUUUCCUUUGUUUGGAAAGGGAAGGGAAAAUAGGAGGAGGAAGGAAGGAAAAUAAUAGGUUAUUUACCCUAUUAUUUUCUCUCCAAUUUGGAGAGAAGAUAAUAAAAGUGGAGGAAUUGUGCAUUGAAAUUUGUGCAAUUAUAUAUAUAGCAUUUAUUUAAUUUUUUAUUUGUGUCUUUAUUAAGUAAACUGGUAAAUACAAUUUAUAAAGCAAGGGUAAAGUAGUAAUUUUAACUAUUUUUUCUUUCAUUCAUUCUUUUUUCAAACAAGGGAAAAUAAAUUUAUUUUCCUUUC
rnacentral:misc_RNA from 1 species